AUUGAACGCUGGCGGCAGGCCUAACACAUGCAAGUCGAACGAGUGGCGGACGGGUGAGUAAUGUCUGGGAAACUGCCUGAUGGAGGGGGAUAACUAAUGGAAACGGUAGCUAAUACCGCAUAACAUCAGAUGUGCCCAGAUGGGAGUAGCUGGUUGGUGGGGUAAAGGCUGACCAAGGCGACGAUCCCUAGCCGGUCUGAGAGGAUGACCAGCCACACUGGAACUGAGACACGGUCCAGACUCCUACGUGAGGCAGCAGGGGGGAAUAUUGCACAAUGGGCGCAAGCCUGAUGCAGCCAUGCCGCGUGUAUGAAGAAGGCCUUCGGGUGGUAAAGUACUUUCAGCGGGGAGGCGUUACCCGCAGAAGAAGCACCGGCUAACUCCGUGCCAGCAGCCGCGGUAAUUC
rnacentral:rRNA from 1 species